rnacentral:rRNA from 1 species
AGAACGAACGCUGGCGGCAUGCCUAAUACAUGCAAGUCGAACGAACACUUCGGUGUUAGUGGCGCACGGGUGCGUAACGCGUGGGAAUCUGCCCUUGGGUUCGGAAUAACAGUUGGAAACGAACUGCUAAUACCGGAUGAUGACGAAAGUCCAAAGAUUUAUCGCCCAGGGAUGAGCCCGCGUAGGAUUAGCGUAGUUGGUGAGGUAAAGGUCUCACCGAAGGCGACGAUCCUUAGCUGGUCUGAGAGGAUGAUCAGCCACACUGGGACUGAGACACGGCCCAGACUCCUACGGAGGCAGCAGGUAGGGAACAGUUGGACAAUGGGACGCGAAGCCUGAUCCAGACUAAUGGACCGCGGUAGAGUGAGUGAAGGCCGUUAGGGUUGUAAAGCUACGUUUUUACCCGAGUA